UUCUUUCAAUUGAACUAAAGGAGAUUAUUUCUUACCGGCGGGGGCCUUAAUUCGUGCUUCCUGUGGAUUUCUGCUUCCCGAUCUCUUCCAACAUGGAUCUUCGCGGCUUGGCUAAGUUAGCUCUGUUGAUUUCUGUGUGGCUUAGUUCUUUUGAAGCUAGGGAAGAGAGCAGUAGUCUCUCGGUCAUCUUUUUUGACUCACCAUCCCACUCAUACAUCCGUCAGCAACCAUUGGGGAUCACAGGCGAGACAAAUUCUAUUUUAUUGGAUGAAGUUGCUGCAGCUAUAUCUGUUUUACUUGGUUUGGCACCACCCUUACUUCCAGUUGAAUCAUCUUCUAAGUUAAAUGAGAUGCUUCUCCCCAAUCCAUUUGAGAGGCCAUCUACCGUUUUUCUGCUAGAAGUGGGUGGAAUGGAUGGUCUUUUUCUUUCUACCCGUAGCUCUGAUUUCAAGGUGGGCAACUCUUUUAGCAGUAUUGUUCUUCAAUCAAAGAAGGCUAAAAUUCACGUUCCAGGUGAGGAAGAUGUUUUUGUUGUUGAUGUAGAUGAAAAUGCAUGUGCUGAAGAUGAUGAUUCUUGUGUUGAUAAAGAGCUAUUCGAACUUGCAAAGUGGUUUGGAGGGUCAUAUACAGGAAGCUUGAAAUCGCAAGAUGGAAAGUUGACCAUUCCAUUGUCCACGGGUAGCUCUUUAGAUCUGGAUGUUGCUAAGGAAUCUGACCGAACAUUUGCAGCUAGUCUUGCAUCGCUUGUUGAAAAUACAAGGAGGACUGUAGUAUUAAAUGAAGUUGCUCAAAGCAGUAUAAGAUCUGCAGAAUUAUUCAUUGGACGUUUUAGAGGACUUGAGGCUCUGGAGGUGGAAUAUGGUGAGGGGGAUAUUUUUAAACUUGGAGCACAAUUGGUGAAGGACUCCCUGAUCAAGUUAUUUAACACCUUACAGGAAUCUUCUGGUGGAAGAAUUGUCUGUGUCGUGGUGUCUAGCAAGGAUGCCUAUCCAAGCACAGAAAAUAUGUUAGAAGUUAUACAGUUACCUCGGUUGGCACGUUGGCUGGAUGAAAUGAGCUCUGAUAAUGAUACAAGUGCAGAGAUUAAACGGGUUUUAUUAGUGAGACGGAGUUUGGCAUGGAUAACUGCUAUUAUUCUUCUUGUCUCAACUCUAAUUGGGGUAUGAAUUCAUUGCUGGUAGUGGAUGAAAAAAUUGGCCGAAGGACAGCAAAGACUUCAACAUGAUAAUGCGUUAUGAAAUAAAAUAAAAUUCUCAAUUAAUAGUGAUGGUUCCGACAUCUAAAAGCCAUAUGAAUUAAAUGCAGAUAUGCUUCUUGAUGAACAUGCCACUUACAAGGGACACUCUUCUCUACUCCAAUGUCAAGCUGGACUAAGAGCAUUAUGAAGUAUUAAAAAGAAUAAUCUUUUGAUCAAUGAGAGUCAGUCAUAAACUUUGUGAGUAUAUGCUGUCUCAAUAUUUGCUUUUUUGAAAAAUACUGUAAUGUUCAAUGUGCCUUCAUAUGCUUGGCACUUCUGUCUAUAUAAAUUUUCCAUGUUCUCGCAUUAAUAGCUGAUUACUCUUUUAAAUCAAAUCGGAUUACUAAAAGCAUCCUAUUUGAACUUUAAUAAACUCGGCAUUAUUUUGUAUUUA